rnacentral:rRNA from 1 species
CACCGGCGGCUCGAGUGGUGGCCACUUUUAUUGGGUCUAAAGCGUCCGUAGCCGGCUUGGCAAGUCCCCUGGGAAAUCUGGCGGCUUAACCGUCUGGCGUCCAGAGGAUACUGCCAGGCUUGGGACCGGGAGAGGUGAGAGGUACCUCAGGGGUAGGGGUGAAAUCUUGUGAUCCCUGAGGGACCACCAGUGGCGAAGGCGUCUCACUAGAACGGGUCCGACGGUCAGGGACGAAAGCUGGGGGCACGAACCGG